CAAACAAGAGAGGACGGCGUGUGUGUGGACCUGCCCAAUGCCUCCCGUAAUGUCAGCAGAGGAAAGAUAAGUUUUACUGAAGUGGACCCACACCCUCAACUGUGCGUAAAGUUUACUGUCGGCUCUCAGUUCUGGACCAGGUGCCCCUUUGCUGAUG